rfam:Haemonchus contortus, ISE/inbred ISE, WGS project CAVP01000000 data, contig: Hcontortus_31288
CAAACGGCCCUCUUUAGGGCCAAACCACUUUCUUUUUCACCUCAUA